GCCAGGAUCCGGACACUGGAGACGCAGCUGGUGGAGAUGGAGACACGGCACAGCAAGGUGGUGACACUGUACCGGAGCCACCUGCUCUAUGCAGUGCAGGGCCACAUGGAUGAGGACGUGCAGAAGCUCCUGUGCCAGAUCCUGAAGAUGCAGCGGCUGCAGGAACAGGGCAGAUGAGCUCUGGCCGACCAGGGAGCACCGCGG